rnacentral:rRNA from 1 species
AGCAACAAAUGCCCUGCUUCCAGGAAAAGCCUCUAAGCAUCAGGUAACAUCAAAUCGUACCCCAAACCGACACAGGUGGUCAGGUAGAGAAUACCAAGGCGCUUGAGAGAACUCGGGUGAAGGAACUAGGCAAAAUGGUGCCGUAACUUCGGGAGAAGGCACGCUGACACGUAGGUGAAGUGAUUUACUCAUGGAGCUGAAGUCAGUCGAAGAUACCAGCUGGCUGCAACUGUUUAUUAAAAACACAGCACUGUGCAAACACGAAAGUGGACGUAUACGGUGUGACGCCUGCCCGGUGCCGGAAGGUUAAUUGAUGGGGUCAGCGCAAGCGAAGCUCCUGAUCGAAGCCCCGGUAAACGGCGGCCGUAACUAUAACGGUCCUAAGGUAGCGAAAUUCCUUGUCGGGUAAGUUCCGACCUGCACGAAUGGCGUAAUGAUGGCCAGGCUGUCUCCACCCGAGACUCAGUGAAAUUGAACUCGCUGUGAAGAUGCAGUGUACCCGCGGCAAGACGGAAAGACCCCGUGAACCUUUACUAUAGCUUGACACUGAACAUUGAGCCUUGAUGUGUAGGAUAGGUGGGAGGCUUUGAAGCGUGGACGCCAGUCUGCGUGGAGCCGACCUUGAAAUACCACCCUUUAAUGUUUGAUGUUCUAACGUGGACCCGUAAUCCGGGUUGCGGACAGUGUCUGGUGGGUAGUUUGACUGGGGCGGUCUCCUCCUAAAGAGUAACGGAGGAGCACGAAGGUUGGCUAAUCCUGGUCGGACAUCAGGAGGUUAGUGCAAUGGCAUAAGCCAGCUUGACUGCGAGCGUGACGGCGCGAGCAGGUGCGAAAGCAGGUCAUAGUGAUCCGGUGGUUCUGAAUGGAAGGGCCAUCGCUCAACGGAUAAAAGGUACUCCGGGGAUAACAGGCUGAUACCGCCCAAGAGUUCAUAUCGACGGCGGUGUUUGGCACCUCGAUGUCGGCUCAUCACAUCCUGGGGCUGAAGUAGGUCCCAAGGGUAUGGCUGUUCGCCAUUUAAAGUGGUACGCGAGCUGGGUUUAGAACGUCGUGAGACAGUUCGGUCCCUAUCUGCCGUGGGCGCUGGAGAACUGAGGGGGGCUGCUCCUAGUACGAGAGGACCGGAGUGGACGCAUCACUGGUGUUCGGGUUGUCAUGCCAAUGGCACUGCCCGGUAGCUAAAUGCGGAAGAGAUAAGUGCUGAAAGCAUCUAAGCACGAAACUUGCCCCGAGAUGAGUUCUCCCUGAGACUUUAGGUCUCCUGAAGGAACGUUGAAGACGACGACGUUGAUAGGCCGGGUGUGUAAGCGCAGCGAUGCGUUG